GGCGCUAUAGUGUAGUGGUUAUCACUUGGGAUUCUGAUCUGCAGCGUUCCCAAAACCCAGGUUCGAGCCCUGGUAGCGCCU
rnacentral:tRNA from 1 species